rnacentral:lncRNA from 1 species
UCUCCCUCUCUCUCUCUCUCUCUCUCUCUCUCUCGGGAAAACAUGAUUGUUCCCAUAGUUUGAAGGUAAUACAACUUUGAGGAUUCCCAAUUAUACCAGCAUGCUGGGGAAAAAAAUGACUUGUACAAAUCCUUAAGAGAACCAUGGUGAUCUUACAACCUUUACUCUCCAAAGUAUUUUACCCAGACAGAAGACUAUCUCCAUGAAAAGGUCAUUGCAGGUAGUUCGCCACCGCUAACAUACUGCUUCACUGUGGUUUGCAGUAUCGUCCUUCUCAAGGGCAAAGCCAAGGAGCAGACUUCCUUGUCACUUGCGAAGUCUCCUAGCCCAGCAUGCACUGGGGGUUCCUCACUUCCAUUUUUUCUCGAAGGCGCUGAAGCUUCCUUUGGAGUCCGCACCCACUCCCUCGAAACAAACCAGUUCUGCUGAGGUGACAAU